GGUGGUGUAUUGUUGGGGCUGGCACGGCCUACCUACCCCCAAGGCAAUGGGGAGCUGUCGAUGUGAUAACGUCGUCGUCGUAGUCGUGUGGGAGCGAUUGAGAGUAGCAAAAGUUGCUUCGGCUGUGAUGGUUCCCGUGUCAUUUCCCAACACACAUCGCGCGCUACUUCUUGCUGUGUGCGUGUGCCGUUUGCUUCUGUACUGCUGCCGAUAGUACUGAGUGUCCAACAUUGCUACUUCGCAAAAUAUUCUGAGAGCAGACAUCGAAAGCUUCUUUUGGGGAGGUGUAGAAAUAGAUUCUGUUAAAAAUUAAAUUUACUAACGUUUUAGUCGCUUAAUUUGCUUAACGAUUUAACAUGUUUUACUCACCAUUUAAUGUGAGUACUCAUCAAUAAUUAUACUCACUAGGACUCUUCAAAUAUUUUAAAACAUUAAAAUAUGUUUAAUAAAAAUACAAGUUAAUAUAUAGCUAUCAAACUAUUAAUCGAACUCACAUCAAUGAGUGUCUCGCAUUCAUCAAAAAGGUCGCUCAGUAAAAAACAACCCCCUUUUUCGCGAGUAUCGCCAUGAGUAACCAACCCCCCAGCGGGGCACUCAGAGGAGAAAUUCGUUUCGUUCGGGGUAGCGAAACGAAAAACACACAUUUCCACACGGGGAAAUGCGUGUGGUUGUGUGUGCGAUCGUGUCGACCGUGUCUGGGAUAGCCGAGUGAGAGAUCGCGUAAUAAAUUCAUAACUAUGCCUACAAUGUAACCAUUUGUUGACGAACGCAAAUGUACCACCCCAUCUCACGACACCUUUCGCUAAACUCACCCUUCCACCAGUCGCCCCCCUC